UCCGCGAGGGCGGAGCCUGAGCUAUUGAAGGAGGGUUAGACUCGCGAACUCCGGUGGUGAAAUGACUCUUAGUAAUAGUUAAUCUUUAAUGAGUGAGGAUUACUGGGGCCUGUCUUUUACCAUUGUGGAAACGGCCCUCUGAGAGGGGCAGAGAAGAAAUGAAUUCCGGAAGGCUGUUGCAACCCCUUCUCACCGGUUGGCGCGCGAGGGGCGGAGGCAGAGUGGGUGGGGCAUAGUACCCCCUCCUCCGCGCCUUAUACGACAUCUAAAAUUUUCCUGAGUGGGAACGGAAAAAUCCAAGUCCUCAAGCCACCGUGUUAAAGGGAAAGCAGCAUGAACAGGGCAUCAACACGGCCUGGUGUCACUAGGAGUUCUGCCCUAGCCGCUGCGAAGAAGCAGAAAUGAGCACCUGGCAGGUUUGCUUUGCUCCCGCCUGCUUUCCCAACCUGGCCCUGAAGGUGUUUCUUUCUACUUAGCGUCGUAAAUUUCCCGGCGCCGCCCCUGAGGGGCUCCGAGGCGGGCGGGCGGGCGCCCCCACUCCACCCCCACGGGCUCGGGCCUGCCCGGCUGGUCGUGAAGCGUUGCUGUGACGGUAGCCAUGGGGACCCAGGGCCGCCUGGUGCUCCACACAGGCAUGUUGGCUCAGAUUCAGGCCACGACUGCAGAAGUAACUCGGAAAUGCUAAACUGCACCUUGUUUUGGUGUUAAGUUUCAGGGGACCCAAACUCUAGCAAUAGCUGCGAAUAUAUAAUUAUAAUGCUUUUUAUCGCUAGAAUAUUUAGCGCUAGAAUAAAAUUAGUUAAAAUCAUUUUAUGAAUAUGAGGGAUAGGUGGUUCCUGAUACGGUAUUACGUGGUCUUAACUGAGUUCAUUUUAGAGACUGAACAGUGAUUUUUAGAAGACCCUAGUAAUUGGCAGGUAUAGACCAACUCUACAGGGGCUUAAUGAGACAUCUGUACUGGAUUAUCAAAGUCACUUUUCUGUAUUAUCCUCAACAGCUGUUUGUAAAAGAGCCAUCCUGUUGAGCAGUACUGUUGAAGUUAAUGUUUUGUCCUAUGUGAUGCAAGAAUUCACACUUGGAAAACAAAACUGUUGGACAAUUUUAUAUUCAACAUAGAAGUGACUUUUAAAUGAUAUUACAUUGAAUACAGACAAAUGGGAAGAUUAGUCUUCAAGCCUUGUAUAAAGACACUAAAGAAAUCUCACCGCUACAAAUGAAGACUUCCUGCCACUUUGGGCAGUAAUUUGGUUUAACUUGCCUUCAAGUAUCCCAAAACCCCAUACAAUGUAAAGUUAAUGAUCAGAAUCCCAAAUGAGGAUUUCUUAAGAAAAGAGUUUGGUGUGAUUAUUCUGGAGAUGUCUCAGCGCUGCUGCUGCUGCUGAAAUGUAAACUAGUUACUACAACUCCCAUCAUACAUGUGACACCAUGACAGUUCUGAAGGAACCAAAUAAGGAAGAAAAUGGGAAACAGAGGGUCCCGCCCAGGGGAGGAGAUGAAUGAACCACAUGAAUGGGACACCACCAAUUCCCACCCUGGUAGGGAUAAAAACCCGUGAUCAUGACCUCCUCAAUGUGACUCAUUCUCUGAGUUCACCCUCACUUCAGGUGUGUACUUUAAUUUUCAAUAAAUCACUCACUUUCCUG